UUAAGCGACUAAGCGUACACGGUGGAUGCCCUGGCAGUCAGAGGCGAUGAAGGACGUGCUAAUCUGCGAUAAGCGUCGGUAAGGUGAUAUGAACCGUUAUAACCGGCGAUUUCCGAAUGGGGAAACCCAGUGUGAUUCGUCACACUAUCAUUAACUGAAUCCAUAGGUUAAUGAGGCGAACCGGGGGAACUGAAACAUCUAAGUACCCCGAGGAAAAGAAAUCAACCGAGAUUCCCCCAGUAGCGGCGAGCGAACGGGGAGGAGCCCAGAGCCUGAAUCAGUGUGUGUGUUAGUGGAAGCGUCUGGAAAGGCGCGCGAUACAGGGUGACAGCCCCGUACACAAAAAUGCACAUGCUGUGAGCUCGAUGAGUAGGG
rnacentral:rRNA from 1 species